rnacentral:lncRNA from 1 species
CAGUGCUGUUUCAUUAGGCUACGGCUCCAUACAUUUGCAUAGUCAGACAGUACUGGAGUGGAAAUGAGAAACGGAUCAAAGAGAUAACAAGAGGGUCAGCCAAGGGAGGGAGGAAGGAAGGAGUGAGAGGCAGAGAGAGAGCAAGAGAGCUCAUGGUUUCUUAGAAACCGAGCAAACUGAUCCAUCCAUCUCUCCCUCAUCCAAUCUAAUGCCUUGCUUUAUUUCCAGUUCAGCUCCCGAAUCCAUCCAUCCAUCCAUCCAUCCAUGUGCUGUCCUCUCACAUCAGGGGCAGGCUUUGAUAAGACCUGUGCUGUGAGCGGCAGGCUGGCAGGGAGCGAGCAAGCGCGACAGACAGAGGAGAGUAGUGCUGUGACUCACAUGCCACGUCCAUGCUGCAUGGACAGGGAGCAGGCAGGGAGGGAAAGACGCGCGCACGCACACACACACACACACACGGCAGUGCUACAGUGUAGAGACUGAUGAAGUGCUCUCCAUUGGGCUAUCUGGCGGCUCUGUUAUGGCGUGUGGUAUAUGUUCCUGGCAUGGUAAAUGCCAAUAAAUAAACAGCCAUUCUGAGUGAUCACCUUCAACCAAUGGUGAAUAAUUUCUAUCGUAAUGGGAGUGGUCUCUUCCAGGAUGACAAUGCCCCCAUCCACCGGGCACGAGUGGUCACUGAAUGGUUUGAUGAGCAGGAAAACGAUGUAAGCCAUAUGCCAUGGCCGUCUCAGUCGCCAGAUCUAAACCCAAUUGAACAAUUAUGGGAGAUUUUGGAGUGGAGCCUGAGACUGCGUUUUCCAGAAUCAUCAACUAAACACCAAAUUUGAAUUGUAUUUAUUAAGGAUGCCCAUUAGCUGCUGCCAAGGCAACACUCUUCCUGGGGUCCAGCAACAUUAAGACGGUUAUAUACAAUAAAACAUAUUACAAAGAAAGACUUACACAAUACAUUGUGUGUUCCCUCAGGCCACUACUCUACUAUCAUAUAUCUACAAUACAAAAUCCAUGUGUACGUGUGUAGAGUGCAUGUCUUAUCAUGCGUGUCUGUACCUGUGUAUGUGUCUCUUCACAGUCCCCGCUGUUCAAUAAGGUGUAUUUUUAUCUGUUUUUAAAAUCUGAUUCUACUGCUUGCAUCAGUUACCUGAUGUGGAAUAGAGUUCCAUGUAGCCAUGGCUCUAUGUAGUACUGUGCGCCUCCCAUAGUAUGUUCUUGACUUGGGGAUUGUGAAGAGACCUUUGGUGGCAUGUCUUGCAAACAAGUAGUGAAGUCAUUCUCUCCUCCACUUUGAGCCAUGUGAGAUGUACAUGCAUAUUAUCUCUGUACAUUUAGGGGCCAGCCGUGCUGCACCGGUUCUGAGCCAUCUGUAAUUUUCCAAGGUCCCUCUUUGUGGUACCUGACCACACGACUGAACAGUAGUCCAGCAGGCUGAUCGAAAUGAUGGAAUUUUCAUGCAAGAAUGGUGUCGCAUCCCUCCAGAGUUCCAGACACUUGAAGAAUCUAAGCCACGGCGCAUUGAAGCUUUUCUGGUGGCUCGUGGUGGACCAACGCCCUAUUAAGACACUGUUGAUGUUUCUUUUAUUUUGGAAGUUACCUGUAGUCUACAGAAGAGAUGGGAUCAGAACAGAGGCUACACAGAAGGAGGAGAAUGGCUAGUGUUUGUGAGAUUGGCUACAGUGGCCACUGGCAAGUAUUUUCUUUACCACUGAAUAUAGAUGGUGUAAACCUUCUUACACUCACACUAAAAUUAAAUUAGUCUUGGAUGUGGUGUGGCCAAAGCCACAUUCACAAUGCAUGUGUGUGUGCAGCCAUUAACAUACCAUAAAUAUCAUAGACAAACAAAAGCAGGCUAGAUAGUUUGGUGUCAGGGGGUUUGGAUUUUGUUUUGGGGGCCUUUGUGUCUCGCCUGAAAAUGAGGUGAAACACUGACAGGAGCUAUACAGUAGCAGAAGGCUUCUAAUAGACAGUGUCUUUGCAUCAGAGGGGUGAAUUUUUACACCAGCUGUUGUUUUUUUAGUGGGUUUUUUUUAGGGGUGGAUCAGCUUAAUAUUGUGGAAAGAAUAUUGCUUCCAUCACUGUAAUUGUCUGCAUCAUUUCCAAUCCCCCAUUUAUUUUUUGGGUAAAUAUAUAUAUAUAUAUAUAUAUAUACGCAUGCACACAUAUACACAAACCUAUAUAGACAUACA